AUUGGGUUAAGGGUGCGCAGGCGGGGGAUUAGGUCGGCGGUGAAAUAUCAGGGCUCAACCUUGAGAGUGCCGUCGAAACCGGUUUUCUUGAGUGCGGAUGAAGUAGGCGGAAUUUGUGGUGUAGCGGUGAAAUGCGUAGAUAUCACAAAGAACACCGAUUGCGGAGGCAGCUUACUAAACCGCAACUGACGCUCAUGCACGAAGGCGUGGGGAUCAAACAGGAUUAGAUACCCUGGUAGUCCACGCAGUAAACGAUGAUUACUAGCUGUUUGCGAUACAAUGUAAGCGGCUGAGCGAAAGCGUUAAGUAAUCCACCUGGGGAGUACGUUCGCAAGAAUGAAACUCAAAGGAAUUGACGGGGGCCCGCACAAGCGGAGGAACAUGUGGUUUAAUUCGAUGAUACGCGAGGAACCUUACCCGGGCUUGAAAUGCAUCUGACCGGGCCGGAAACGGUCUUUCCCAGCGAUGGGCAGAUGUGUAGGUGCUGCAUGGUUGUCGUCAGCUCGUGCCGUGAGGUGUCGGCUUAAGUGCCAUAACGAGCGCAACCCUCAUCGUCAGUUACCAUCGGGUAAGGCCGGGGACUCUGACGAGACUGCCAUCGUAAGAUGCGAGGAAGGUGGGGAUGACGUCAAAUCAGCACGGCCCUUAUGUCCGGGGCGACACACGUGUUACAAUGGGCGGUACAGCGGGGAGCUACCUGGCGACAGGGAGCCGAUCCCGAAAGCCGCUCACAGUUCGGAUCGGAGUCUGCAACUCGACUCCGUGAAGUCGGAUUCGCUAGUAAUCGCGCAUCAGCCACGGCGCGGU
rnacentral:rRNA from 1 species